rnacentral:rRNA from 1 species
UACGUAGGGCGCAAGCGUUAUCCGGAAUUAUUGGGCGUAAAGAGCUCGUAGGCGGUUUGUCGCGUCUGCCGUGAAAGUCCGGGGCUCAACUCCGGAUCUGCGGUGGGUACGGGCAGACUAGAGUGAUGUAGGGGAGACUGGAAUUACCGGUGUAGCGGUGAAAUGCGUAGAUAUCGGUAGGAACACCAGUGGCGAAGGCGGUCUCCUGGGGCAUUCUUGACGCUGAGGCGCGAAAGCUGGGGGAGCAAACGGG